GCCCGGGUGGCGGAAUUGGCAGACGCGCACGUUUGAGGGGCGUGUGGGUACACCGUGUGGGUUCAAAUCCCACCCCGGGCACCA
rnacentral:tRNA from 1 species